CGAAAAGGGUCUAAAAAGGGCUCAAAAUGUCCGCGAGAGAUCCCUCGCGCACUUGACGAUUUGCCAGUGAGCCCUAAGCCCUCACGGAACGCGCCUCAAAGUCUGUGAGGGUGGACAUUGGGAUUGGGCCGAGAAUAAAACUGUGGAAACAAGGAUAAGAAGCGAGGACAGGUGGAAGACAGGUGUCCUCUGAGAGUGUCUCACUGAAGAUGUUGAACACAGAGCCCUUCCAGAACAUCAGGCUCCCCAUCAUCAUGGGACACAACAGCUAAGAGAGAGGAAAGAGACCUGCUUACUGAACACAACCUGGAUCAGAACCAGACUAAAGGUUCUGCAGAGGGGAGUCCUGAUCAGCUGUUACCUGUGUGAAGUCGAUGACAGCUACGAUCAUGUUGAGCAGUUAGCGUCUCUUCUGACUCGCUGACUUCAGCGAACCUGAUGGAGACCUGUCCUCUCAAGUAAACCUGAGCGCUGAGUUUACUUGAGCUUCAAAGACAUUUCGGACUAUAGAGAGUGCUGCUGAAGGAAUUUCGUCAUGCCCAUAAUCACCUGACUUGCAAAAGCAGCUCUGAUAUUGGAUCAGAGUAUUGAGUGGCACUACGGCACCAAGGCCCAAGUUGGAAACCAUUAAUCUGCAUACAUGUAUGUGGUUCAUCGCUUUACAAAUGUUGAACCUAUUCAACCAAUUCUACUGCGAGCUUGAGAGAUACACACCACAGCUGAUUGCCCUGUACAGGCAGAAAGCCAAGAGAGCAGAGGCCCAGCAGAGAUCCUCAGGAUUUAUGACCUUCAGGAACAACACGAGGUACACAUGAGAUGCCAUCCGACCCUCCGUGGCCUCCCAGUAAACCUGCUAGAGGAUGAAUGACGUCUUCAAAACCUGCAAUAAAUGACAGAUGUGGGGUGGUGAUGGAGCAGUGGAUAAG